ACCUGCAGACACCCCCAAUUAUUACUUAAUUUUGCUUCAAAAGCUUAAUGUUUAUUGGGAGAAUAUUCCGGGAUUCACUUCCAUUUCCCCUGGAGAAUAAAUUUAGUCAACUGGAAUAGCUAAAACAGGAAUGUUCCAAAAAACCACCAAAAUAUGGAAAAUAUAAAAUGAAGUAUAUAGCAUGUCCUAGAAGGAAAAUAUCCCUUUUUGACAACAAAAUAAAAGAGUUACAGGUACACUCUUCACUUUCUCAUAACCAUAUCAAUCAAACACUACUUAUGUUGUCCACACUACCGUUAAAAAAGACAGUAACAUAACAUCAUCAUUAUCUGAAAUUCUACUUGUGCCACAGAUGUCACUACUGCUGGGCACACUGUACCCUCUGUGCACCACCAGGCAUAUCAUCAUCCUCAUCAUAUGCUUCCUGCUGAGCUUGUUGCUGCUUCCUCCUUGACUCCUCUUCCAUGUUCACGUCAUUGAGUGUGGUCUCCUCACAUUCAUCUAGCUCCAUGUCUGUUAAUUGUGAUGAAGGCUUUGGUGGCAGGACAGCCUCUAAAGCCUUAACCUGAUCGAGACUUAGAGAUUCAGGGAACUCCACGUUGAAGUGAAUGUAAAGCUUCCCUUUCAUGAAUGGCCUCUGAUACAAUGGCAUUCCUUCAUCGUUAAUUGCCUUGUAUGAAUCUGCAUACAUAAACAAGCAAAGCAUAAGAAACUCUUCUCUAGCACAUAAUUGAAUUGCUAUUUUAAUCACACAGCAAAAUUGAGCCAUGGGAAUGGCAGAUGAAACUAUUUUCAUACCAGGCUUAAUAACUUCACCAGGGUUGGAUUUGAUAAGGAGCUGACGGCCAUCCAAGUGAGACAGCACAAAUUGGAAGCCACACAAAGCAUCGGUGAGGGACAAAGUGUGCUCCACAAUGAGAUCUUCGGCCUUUCUCUUGAACUUGGGAUGUUCCUUCUGCUGAAGCACAAAGACAAUAUCCCCAGUAACUGUGUCUGGCUGCAAAAACACAAACAGCUCCAAGUCAGUCUAAUUUCAUCUAUCGAAGCAAAUUAAUGUCAAUUAACACCAAUACUCGCAACAUACCGCUUCAUCGGCUUCACCAGGGAAUGUAAUCUUCUGGCCAUUCUGCAUCCCCUUCUCCACAAUAACUUCAAGUACUUUCUUCUCUUGAACAACCUUUUCUCCCUUGCACUGAGGGCAGCGGUCCCUGUCAUUGAUGAUGUCCUAUUUCAUCAUUUUCUAUAAAAAUAUUUCUAAAACAAAACAAAAUAAUACACAUGUCAUACUUGUAUUGACCAGAUGAGAUAAGUUAUUUCAUUGUAUGAGGAGUUUAUUGUCUUAAAAUAAAGGGUGAAAAAUGAAAAAUAAAUAGAAAAAGUAGAUUAAAAAAUGGAGAGAUUACCCGAAGAAGCUGAGAUCUUGAAGUUAGCCGGGUUACCACUGACAACAGGAUUUGGUGAUAUUUCAAUUCCAGACACUUUCACAUCAUAAUUUCCCUUCUUAUCUGCAUAUACAUUUUUUUAGCAAACAAAUAAAUAGACAAAAAAUUACCAAAAUCUAAAUCAAAUCUGAACAAACAUGACCCCAGCUUCCAGCACUGAAGCACACACAUGACACCACAAAAUCACACAAAAAUUAAACUCAACUUAAUAGAAAUCCACUACAUAAGAGUCAAAUCAACUACAUAAGAGUCAAAUCCACUAAAAUCCCUCAGAAUUGAAGAACUAUGCAAUUUCAUAAAAAUGAAAUUAAAGAAACACAGUAUAAGAUCCUAAUGUUGAGUUUAAGGAGAUUAAAUCCCACAAUAAAAAAUAUAAAAUUAAAAUAGUAAUAAAAAGAGUGAAAGGUAAGGGUGGAAGUACCGCAGUAUUUGAAGGUAACCUUAGCUUGAGCGAGAAAAGAAGAGAGGAAGAGGAUUGAGAAGGAUAGAAUAAGGUAGAGGUUGGGAAGAGAGUGAAAUGCCAUCGAUUGCACGAAGAUGAAGAAGAAGAAGAAGAACAACGGAGAGAGUUUAUGCUAACUGUUCUUACUAAACUCCAACACCAAACAUACACAUAGUCAAAUAAGAAUAUUAAUAAUUAUUUCAAAGUUAAACAAUGUGAGGAUGGGAGAAUAAGACUAGUCUCAGUCUCUUAUUAUUAAUUUGAGUAUUUAAUAAGUAAUUAAUCUCUAGGCAUUGUUCUGAAUUAAAAAUUUGACAUUUUGAAUCUUUGAUAUAUGAAAUAAUAUACAUAUAAAUCUUUGAUAUAUGAAAUAAUAUACAUAUAAAUCUUUGAUAUAUGAAAUAAUAUACAUAUAAAUCUUUGAUAUAUGAAAUAAUAUACAUAUAAAUCUUUGAUAUAUGAAAUAAUAUACAUAUAAAUCUUUGAUAUAUGAAAUAAUAUACUUAUAAAUAUUUUGUUAUUAAGCAUAUAUUGUGUUAUUGUGGUAGGAGAGGAGCGUGAAUAAAUCUGAUGUUGAAUUAAUCUCGUUUAUUGAUUUGUAGCCACAUUCUCCCAUAGAUAGCAGCUAAGUUAAGGACUUCAUAUCUUUAUUCACCAUCAAGUAUUUAUGGUAGAGACUAGAGUGCAUAAAACUCAUUUUUUUUAAGUUUUUUACUGAACUAUUUUUUCUUCAAAUGCCUCUUAAAUUUUAUAUGUUAAUUAAUAAAAUUAACAUGUAUAAAUUUUAUUAUUAAUAUGACAAGAAAGAAACUGAUAUUAUCAGGAAGAGCAAUGCAAUAAUGGAUGUUAACCCAAUAAUGAUGAUUUGAAGAAAACCAGUAUCAAAAUAUAAAUAAUUUGAGAAAAUAAUAAAUAAAUUGAGUUAAAAUGUGUCACACAAUAAUAUUAAUAUAUAAAAAGUAAAAUUAAAUAAUAGGUUAAAAUAAAAUAGAUGUAUCAAGGCCAAAUUUCAUCAACAAUUAAGAUUUAGAGAUAAUUAGAAAGAGAAAUAGAUGGUAUUUAAGCUACGGGUGCUGGGACCUCUCUUGCAUAACAUGAAAAUUUAAUUUAGAACAAAACCUUCUUUAACGGAAUUUUUAAUUGAAAAAAUCAUUCGAAAAUAAUUGAUUUUUUUUCUUGAAGAUGGAACAUAAUGUAACUUUGAAAUACUGUUUAAUGAAGAAGAAGAAAAUCAUCUAUAUCGGAAUAUAUAAGAAUUGAAGAUAACUUAUUUCCUAAAAAAUAUGAGAAAUAAUUUAUUUCAACCAGUAAAAGUAUACUAUUUUAUAUUAUUUUAAAAAUAUUUUCAUAAAAAUAAUAAAAUAUAACAUUGUGUUAUGGUCCUUAUAAGAAGAGAGUAUUAUUCUCUAAGCACCUGCAGACACCCCCAAUUAUUACUUAAUUUUGCUUCAAAAGCUUAAUGUUUAUUGGGAGAAUAUUCCGGGAUUCACUUCCAUUUCCCCUGGAGAAUAAAUUUAGUCAACUGGAAUAGCUAAAACAGGAAUGUUCCAAAAAACCACCAAAAUAUGGAAAAUAUAAAAUGAAGUAUAUAGCAUGUCCUAGAAGGAAAAUAUCCCUUUUUGACAACAAAAUAAAAGAGUUACAGGUACACUCUUCACUUUCUCAUAACCAUAUCAAUCAAACACUACUUAUGUUGUCCACACUACCGUUAAAAAAGACAGUAACAUAACAUCAUCAUUAUCUGAAAUUCUACUUGUGCCACAGAUGUCACUACUGCUGGGCACACUGUACCCUCUGUGCACCACCAGGCAUAUCAUCAUCCUCAUCAUAUGCUUCCUGCUGAGCUUGUUGCUGCUUCCUCCUUGAC
rnacentral:lncRNA from 1 species